AUUGAACGCUGGCGGCAUGCCUUACACAUGCAAGUCGAACGGCAGCACGGGAGCAAUCCUGGUGGCGAGUGGCGAACGGGUGAGUAAAGUAUCGGAACGUGCCCAGUCGUGGGGGAUAACGUAGCGAAAGUUACGCUAAUACCGCAUACGAUCUAUGGAUGAAAGCGGGGGAUCGCAAGACCUCGCGCGAUUGGAACGGCCGAUAUCAGAUUAGGGAGUUGGUGGGGUAAAGGCUCACCAAGCCGACGAUCUGUAGCUGGUCUGAGAGGACGACCAGCCACACUGGGACUGAGACACGGCCCAGACUCCUACGGGAGGCAGCAGUGGGGAAUUUUGGACAAUGGGCGCAAGCCUGAUCCAGCCAUGCCGCGUGCAGGAUGAAGGCCUUCGGGUUGUAAACUGCUUUUGUACGGAACGAAAAGGUUUGACUUAAUACGUUGGACUCAUGACGGUACCGUAAGAAUAAGCACCGGCUAACUACGUGCCAGCAGCCGCGGUAA
rnacentral:rRNA from 1 species